rnacentral:rRNA from 1 species
UACGGAGGGUGCGAGCGUUAUCCGGAAUCACUGGGUUUAAAGGGUACGUAGGCGGUCUAAUAAGUCAGGUGUGAAAUACCGCGGCCUAACUGCGGAACUGCACUUGAUACUGUUAGACUUGAGUAGGGUGGAGGUACACGGAAUGCAUCAUGUAGCGGUGAAGUGCUUAGAUAUGAUGUAGAACACCGAUAGCGAAGGCAGUGUGCCAUACCUAUACUGACGCUGAGGUACGAAAGCGUGGGGAGCAAACAGG